rnacentral:rRNA from 1 species
CUGGUUGAUCCUGCCAGAGGUCACUGCUAUCGGGGUUCGAUUAAGCCAUGCGAGUCGAGAGGGUUCAGACCCUCGGCGGACUGCUCAGUAACACGUGGAUAACCUGCCCUAAGGUGGAGCAUAACCCCGGGAAACUGGGGAUAAUACUCCAUAGGUUAGAGAUACUGGAAUGUUCUUUAAUCGAAAGUUCCGGCGCCUUAGGAUGGAUCUGCGGCCGAUUAGGUAGUUGUUGGGGUAACGGCCCAACAAGCCUGUAAUCGGUACGGGUUGUGGGAGCAAGAGCCCGGAGAUGGAAUCUGAGACACGAUUCCAGGCCCUACGGGGCGCAGCAGGCGCGAAAACUUUACAAUGCAGGAAACUGUGAUAAGGGAACCCCGAGUGCCCGUAUACGCGGGCUGUCCGGGUGUAUAAAAAGCAUCUGAAGAAAGGGCCGGGCAAGACCGGUGCCAGCCGCCGCGGUAAUACCGGCGGCUCGAGUGGUGACCACUUUUAUUGGGCUUAAAGCGUUCGUAGCUGGACUCUUAAGUCUCUUGGGAAAUCCCGCGGCUCAACCGUGGGGCGUUUAAGAGAUACUGGGAGUCUAGGAACCGGGAGAGGUAAGAGGUACUUCGGGGGUAGAAGUGAAAUGCUGUAAUCCUCGAGGGACCACCGAUGGCUGAUGCAUCUUACCACAACGGCUUCGACAGUGAGGAACGAAAGCUGGGGGAGCGAACGGGAUUAGAUACCCCGGUAGUCCCAGCCAUAAACGAUGCGCGUUAGGUGUACUGGUGACCACGAGUCACUGGGGUGCCGAAGGGAAACCGUGAAACGUGCCACCUGGGAAGUACGGUCGCAAGGCUGAAACUUUAAGGAAUUGGCGGGGGAGCACCAC